AUUUAAGUAGUUUAUUUAAAAUAUUGAUUUGUGGAGUCAGAGAUAUAGAUUUUCUAUCUUAGAUA
rnacentral:tRNA from 1 species